UGGGGAAUAUUGCACAAUGGGCGCAAGCCUGAUGCAGCAACGCCGCGUGAACGAUGAAGGUCUUCGGAUCGUAAAGUUCUGUUGCAGGGGAAGAUAAUGACAGUACCAUAGAAGAAAGCUCCGGCUAAAUACGUGCCAGCAGCCGCGGUAAUACGUAUGGAGCGAGCGUUGUCCGGAAUUAUUGGGCGUAAAGGGUACGCAGGCGGUUUAAUAAGUCGAAUGUUAAAGAUCGGGGCUCAACCCCGUAAAGCAUUGGAAACUGAUAAACUUGAGUAGUGGAGAGGAAAGUGGAAUUCCUAGUGUAGUGGUGAAAUACGUAGAUAUUAGGAGGAAUACCAGUAGCGAAGGCGACUUUCUGGACACAAACUGACGCUGAGGUACGAAAGCGUGGGGAGCAAACAGG
rnacentral:rRNA from 1 species